GGGUAGCUGGUCUGAGAGGACGACCAGCCACACUGGGACUGAGACACUGCCCAGACUCCUACGGGAGGCUGCAGUCGAGAAUCUUUCGCAAUGGGGGCAACCCUGACGAAGCGACGCCGCGUGUAGGAUGAAGGUCUUCGGAUUGUAAACUACUGUUUUUGGAGAACAAUAGCCGGCUAUAAAUAAUAGCGGGUAAUGAUAGUAUCCAAAGAGGAAGCCACGGCUAACUCUGUGCCAGCAGCCGCGGUAAUACAGAGGUGGCAAGCGUUGUUCGGAUUUACUGGGCGUAAAGGGUGCGUAGGCGGUUCCGUGUGUCGGAUGUGAAAUCCCAUCGAUCAUCGAUGGAACUGCAUUCGAAACUGCGGGGCUUGAGUGUCGGAGAGGUGGGCGGAAUUCACGGUGUAGCGGUGAAAUGCGUUGAUAUCGUGAAGAACGCCGGAGGCGAAGGCGGCCCACUGGACGACAACUGACGCUGAGGCACGAAAGCCGGGGGAGCAAACAGGAUUAGAUACCCUGGUAGUCCCGGCCUUAAACGGUGUAAACUUGGUGUGGGAGGAAUUAUCCCCUUCCGUGCCGCAGCUAACGCGAUAAGUUUACCGCCUGGGGAGUACGGUCGCAAGAUUAAAACUCAAAGAAAUUGACGGGGGCCCGCACAAGCGGUGGAGCAUGUGGCUUAAUUCGAUGCAACGCGAAGAACCUUACCUGGGUUUGACAUGCAGAGUUCAAUCGCGGAAACGCGAUGGCCCGCAAGGGCGAUCUGCACAGGUGCUGCAUGGCUGUCGUCAGCUCGUGCCGUGAGGUGUUAGGUUAAGUCCUGCAACGAGCGCAACCCCUGUGACUAGUUACCAUCCGCAAGGGGGACUCUAGUCAGACUGCCUGUGAUAAGCAGGAGGAAGGUGGGGAUGACGUCAAGUCAGUAUGGUCCUUAUAUCCAGGGCUGCACACGUGCUACAAUGAUCGGUACAGAGGGAUGCAAGACCGCGAGGUGGAGCAAAUCUCCCAAAACCGAUCCCAGUUCAGAUUGGAGUCUGCAACUCGACUCCAUGAAGCCGGAAUCGCUAGUAAUGGCGCAUCAGCUACGGCGCCGUGAAUACGUUCCCGGGCCUUGUACACACCGCCCGUCACAUCAUGAAAGCCGAUUGCACCCGAAGUGGCUCAUGCAACUCGUAAGAGAGCUAGGUCCCUAAGGUGUGGUUGGUGAUUGGGAUGAAGUCGUA
rnacentral:rRNA from 1 species